rnacentral:rRNA from 1 species
AUUGAACGCUGGCGGCAGGCCUAACACAUGCAAGUCGAACGGUAACAGGAAGCAGCUUGCUGCUUUGCUGACGAGUGGCGGACGGGUGAGUAAUGUCUGGGAAACUGCCUGAUGGAGGGGGAUAACUACUGGAAACGGUAGCUAAUACCGCAUAACGUCGCAAGACCAAAGAGGGGGACCUUCGGGCCUCUUGCCAUCGGAUGUGCCCAGAUGGGAUUAGCUAGUAGGUGGGGUAACGGCUCACCUAGGCGACGAUCCCUAGCUGGUCUGAGAGGAUGACCAGCCACACUGGAACUGAGACACGGUCCAGACUCCUACGGGAGGCAGCAGUGGGGAAUAUUGCACAAUGGGCGCAAGCCUGAUGCAGCCAUGCCGCGUGUAUGAAGAAGGCCUUCGGGUUGUAAAGUACUUUCAGCGGGGAGGAAGGUGUUGAGGUUAAUAACCUCAGCAAUUGACGUUACCCGCAGAAGAAGCACCGGCUAACCAGCCGCCGCCGUAACAC